GAGGGAAAGGUGAAAAGCACCCCGGAAGGGGAGUGAAACAGUUCCUGAAACCGUGUGCCUACAAGUAGUUAGAGCCCGUUAAUGGGUGAUAGCGUGCCUUUUGUAGAAUGAACCGGCGAGUUACGAUUUGUUGCAAGGUUAAGCGGAAAAAGCGGAGCCGUAGCGAAAGCGAGUCUGAAUAGGGCGCAUAAGUAACAGGUCGUAGACCCGAAACCAGGUGAUCUACCCAUGUCCAGGAUGAAGGUAAGGUAAUACUUACUGGAGGUCCGAACCCACGCACGUUGAAAAGUGCGGGGAUGAGGUGUGGGUAGCGGAGAAAUUCCAAUCGAACUUGGAGAUAGCUGGUUCUCUCCGAAAUAGCUUUAGGGCUAGCCUCGAGGUAAAGAGUCAUGGAGGUAGAGCACUGUUUGGACUAGGGGCCCUUCUCGGGUUACCGAAUUCAGAUAAACUCCGAAUGCCAUGUACUUAUACUCGGGAGUCAGACUGCGAGUGAUAAGAUCCGUAGUCGAAAGGGAAACAGCCCAGACCACCAGUUAAGGUCCCCAAAUAUAUGUUAAGUGGAAAAGGAUGUGGGGUUGCUUAGACAACCAGGAUGUUGGCUUAGAAGCAGCCACCAUUGAAAGAGUGCGUAAUAGCUCACUGGUCGAGUGACCCCGCGCCGAAAAUGUACCGGGGCUAAACAUAUUACCGAAACUGUGGAUGAACCUCUUUAGAGGUUCGUGGUAGGAGAGCGUUCUAAGGGCGGUGAAGUCAGACCGGAAGGACUGGUGGAGCGCUUAGAAGUGAGAAUGCCGGUAUGAGUAGCGAAAGAAGGG
rnacentral:rRNA from 1 species